rnacentral:rRNA from 1 species
AGUGAACGCUGGCGGUAGGCCUAACACAUGCAAGUCGAACGGCAGCACAGGGGAGCUUGCUCCCUGGGUGGCGAGUGGCGGACGGGUGAGGAAUACAUCGGAAUCUACUCUGUCGUGGGGGAUAACGUAGGGAAACUUACGCUAAUACCGCCUACGACCUACGGGUGAAAGUGGGGGACCGCAAGGCCUCACGCGAUUGAAUGAGCCGAUGUCGGAUUAGCUAGUUGGCGGGGUAAAGGCCCACCAAGGCGACGAUCCGUAGCUGGUCUGAGAGGAUGAUCAGCCACACUGGAACUGAGACACGGUCCAGACUCCUACGGGAGGCAGCAGUGGGGAAUAUUGGACAAUGGGCGCAAGCCUGAUCCAGCCAUACCGCGUGGGUGAAGAAGGCCUUCGGGUUGUAAAGCCCUUUUGUUGGGAAAGAAAUCCUGUUGGUUAAUACCCGGCGGGGAUGACGGUACCCAAAGAAUAAGCACCGGCUAACUUCGUGCCAGCAGCCGCCGCAG